UGGGUUAGGACAGAGGACGCAUCUGGGACUAUUAAGAGAAUUGAAAAAGGAUACAGAUAUUUGAUCAGCACACAGUGGACACUGAUCGGUUUGAGGAGACACACUUGCUGUUGAUCUUCAGUGAACUGUCAUCAGGAAAGCCUAAAUCAAACUCUGAACAUCUGUGUGUGAGGAGCAAAAGACCUGUCCUGAGUUAUCAUGGCUCAUGUGAAGAGGUUCCAAGGAAUCCCCAUGUCAAAGUCAUUGAGAGGUUUGUGUAAAGAGGAGGACUAUGUGUUUCUGGGAACGUCUCAAAAAACAACGGAAGAGACGGCAGAAGGAACCGGAGCUCUGAAGGAUGACAGGAGGGACCAAAAGGAAGAGAGGAUCCGCCGGCGACUGGAGAGAGAAGAGCAGGAUAAAGAGA